UGUAUCCAUCCAUUUAGAAUUAAGAGGGUCUUUUUUUAAUUAAAAGGAACCUUUUUUUUCUGUUUGGGUAUACCCAUGUAUUAUACCAUAACAUUUUUUUUUCCGUUUAUCCAACAUUACUCCAUGCCGCACAUGUUCAAGUUUAAUCUUGAACUAGGGUGAGCAUUUUCAAUGAGAAAUUGGUUAACUUUUUUAUUCAAAAACUGUCUGGAACCUUUAAAUAGAGUUGAACCGGAAACUGGGACCUCUAAAUGAAGUUGACGCCGGGGUUUUUUUGUUUAAUCUAGUCCAAUGAAAUCAAAGAAAGCAAUAGGCACAUUUGGUCGAUACCUCGGCUCUCGAAUCGACGAAGACCGUAGCAAACUGCGAUAAUUCACUUGAAUUGUAGCGUUUACCGCGAUAGUCGAACUGUUGAACGCACAUGAUGACCGACUGCCCCUUGCAAAAGGGGCAGCUAGGCCACUCUCGUUUGAGAGACCUUUUCUCCAUCUCUCAUACUAUUUUUUUAAAAAAUAGUUUAGGGGCAUUGUGAAUGACGGCGGAUUAAGUCUGCAUAUAUAUGGGUCGUCAUUCAUUAAAUAUUAGUCCAAUGCAGUCCUUGUUUUUUACUAUUUAAUUAGCUAAAAUUCAUGACCAAAGGGUUGUUGAACACUAACAAAUUCCUAUCUUUAUUGAGGGACUUGUACUAGUCUUUAAUAUUCCAACAAAUUAAAAACUUUGAAAGUUGACUCGUUUGGCUUGUCCAAAUUUGAGACCUUUGAUAAUUUUUAGUAUGGUGGGCUCAAAUAUUAUAGAAAUAGGCUUGACUUUUUGAUAUUGAAAAGAGUGUUAUGCUGGACCAAUCUUCUAGGUUUUGUUUAUUAGUUGAUCAAGUUAGAAAUUACAGGAUCCAACGAAUCUAACCAUAGUUUGAAAGUUUUACCUGAUUGUACAAAGUUCUGGUUUCUUCGGAAGCCGUCUCUGUACUUUUUGGCUCUAAAAAGCAAUUCUUCGUAUGCCGCCUAUGAUAAGUAGGAAAAGGUACAGAAUGCAUAAGUAAAACAAAAUGGUAAAUUUAUUA
rnacentral:misc_RNA from 1 species